GUGAAGUGGAUUGCAGGCUGGAAUGGAUGAUUUGGAGCACGUGAUGUGCUUAUAUAGUGGGGCACUGCUGCUAUGGUGCACGACAGUUCAAAUUUUGAAUGUCUAUGUAAUGGCACCACUUUUCUCUUUAUAAUGGUUCUAGAUUGGUGUGAUUUUUCUCUUCUGGGAGAUUCUGGAGUGUAAAUGAGGCACACAACUGUCUUAAGUUUAUUUUGAUGCUGGAGUGUAAACGUGACACACAACUGGCUUUCAAGUUUAUAUUUUAAACUGUGCAAUCAUUAACCUUUGAAUAGGGUAAUAAUAUCAUUUGCUAUCUAC
rnacentral:lncRNA from 1 species